AAGAGCUGUGGUCUGGGAAAGCCCACAUGGACAGUUCUAGCCUGUCCUGCCGGGUCACUAUGAGUGAGCUUUUCUGUUCUCCUGGGGUCACAAAGAUGUCUAAGGCCAGUGGCAUUUUGUUUGUUUUUAAGCCAGUGUUGAUUUGAUUGCUCUGUGCAAACCCUUGGUUAUACUUCCAAUAUUUACUCCAGAUAGUGACCCUUUCCCAUGUGCUUUUCACACCCACUGGGGCCCCUGAACAUGGAGGACAUGUGGAAGUCUUUUAGAGGGAGAGGGUUGGUGGAGGGUCAGUCUGCAGGCUUAGCCUUUUCAGUGUGCCCUCUUGUUUCCAGAGGUACCCAUGAGCCUUUCUGCUUCCCCUCAUCCCUGCCCCCAAACCAGUAGCUUCCUUUCCCUCCACCCAGCUCUGAGCCAAAGCAGAAGGGCCCAGGCGCUCAUGAUCUCAGUGAAAAGUGGGACCCAAACCCCAAGUGUCUUCCUCAUUGGGUUGAGUCACGCCUCUGGGACCAGGAAGGCUGCCUGUGACACCCCCUUCUCAUCUAAGUCCUGAGAGGAAAGGAUACCCCAAGUGCUCGACUCCGCCCCCCCACCCCCCACAUCUGGUCUCCAGAGCUCCAGGAUCCCGCUCCCUCACUGCCUUGCUCCAUGACCUCUGCUCUGCUGGGCUGGCCCUCUGCCUGUCCCUGCCAGCCUCUUGCUGUUUUUGCAACUGAGACUCCAGGCUCCAAGGCAGGUCCUCAACUUAGCUGCCUCUCCACUUGAAUAAACCCUUGUUUCUCUACA